CCUCCGGGAGGCAGCAGUAGGGAAUCUUCGUCAAUGGGGGGAACCCUGAACGAGCAAUGCCGCGUGAGUGAAGCAGGUCUUCGGAUCGUAAAGCUCUGUUGUAAGAGAAAAACGGGUAUCAUAGGGAAUGAUGAUAUCGUGCUGGUAUCUUACCAGAAAGCCACGGCAAACUACGUGCCAGCAGCCGCGGUAAUACGUAGGUGGCAAGCGUAAUCCGGAAUGAUUGGGCGUAAAGGGUGCGUUGGCGGCAAAAUAGGUCGGAAGUAAAAGGCGUGGGCUCAACCAACGUAAGCUUUGGAAACUGUUAAGCUAGCGUGCAGGAGAGGUUAGUGGAAUGCCAUGGGUAGCGGUAAAAUGCGUAGAUAUAUGGAGGAACACCAGUGGCGAAGGCGGCUAACUGGCCUGUAACGGACGCUGAGGCACGAAAGCGUGGGGAGCAAAUAGGAUUAGAUACCCCAGUAGUC
rnacentral:rRNA from 1 species